rnacentral:lncRNA from 1 species
AAAUUUAACACUUUACAGAUUGCCACAAAAAAAAACAGGUGGAAACAUUCAGCAGAGGAGCACAAACUCAAAAGAGCAUCGCAAUCUUGCUAGCAAUUGUAUAGCACCCAUCAUUCUGCUGCCAUUAGCGUCUGCAGCCAUGAGCCCCAGGGGAUGCUUACCAGGGGAUGAAAAACAGUGGAUGGCUUCGGAUUUGUGUUGGACUUACUUUUCCUGGCACCGAGAAAGCCCAAGAGUGUUUGCACCUUCUCAGCUUUGGGUCUGCCAUACAGACUGCAUCUCUUCAUGGGGCUGUGAGGGCUCUCACAUCACAGUCUGGAAAGCAAUGGAGAACAAGGUGUGUGUGAGGACAAACUAGGCAGCCCAUAUCUGGACCCAUGCUGCACCCCUGGUAAAUGCAUGCCUGAUGCCUGUGGAGUCAGCACGUUGCUAUCGCCAGCCCAGGGUGUGGGAGACAUCCCUACAGGUACAUGUCCUUAAGAUUAUCCCUUAUUUAUCUAUCUGUCUAUCUAUCCAUCCAUCCGUCCGUCCUUCUCUAUAUAAAAUAUUUAAGGACAGAAAUAUACCGCUGACAGACAUUUGGUGCUAAGUGUUGUACGCUCCCAUCACACGAUGCACUAAAAGCGUAAUCCCUUAUAUUGAAGAGCACUGGGAGCUACUUAAACUUUUAUGGCUGGACAUGCAGUUAUCUUGUAGUGUGCUUUAGUUGCUGCAAAUUAGGGAGUCAUGAAGUAUGGAGAAGACUCGCUUGCCAAGUAGGCAUCUAAUGCACUGUUCUGAUCAUCCCAGAUACUUGUACUCCACUAAAUAACAUCCAACCUCAAGUCAACGUGAGCUGCUAAGGGGGUCAUUAAAAUUCCUUUUCAGUCCUGAUCAUUAAACAAACCAUACGAGAGGCAGACUCCAUACCUGGAAAAAGUGGCAUGUUAAUGGAGAUGCACCCAGCAUAAUUGCUGUCAUCCAUCACCCCUGCCCUGCUGAUAUUGACAAAGUGCAGCUAAAUAUUUAAAUAAGCCAUUUUUCUUCAGAAGCUGAAGGAUUAGACGCAGCCAAAUUUCUCAGUCUAGUCAGCAAACGAUACAAAUCCAGGGAUUAAACAGGAUUUGCCAGAGUGAAUGAGAGCUGCUCCUGCAUUAUGCUUUAUGAAAAAAAUAUUCUUUGCUGCCAAGACUGUUGCUUGGGGCGAGAAGGGGAGGAGAGACUAUUCUGCUUUUUAUUGAAAGCAAGCAAAAUAGAAUUAGUUCCUCUUUACUCAACACUCUUGAUUUACUUUGAGGGUGUAGCUGAAGGAAAAUGUGGCUUUCCCAAGCCCCAUUAGACACCCACACUUCUAAAAACACUGCAUUUUAAAUGACGAU